rnacentral:rRNA from 1 species
UACGAAGGGGGCUAGCGUUGUUCGGAAUUACUGGGCGUAAAGCGCACGCAGGCGGCUCGAUAAAUUAGAAGUGAAAGCCCCGGGCUUAACCUGGGAAUUGCUUUUAAGACUGUCGAGCUAGAAUCCAGAAGAGGGUAGUGGAAUUCCGAGUGUAGAGGUGAAAUUCGUAGAUAUUCGGAAGAACACCAGUGGCGAAGGCGACUACCUGGUCUGGCAUUGACGCUCAUGUGCGAAAGCAUGGGGAGCAAACAGG